rnacentral:tRNA from 1 species
GCAUUGGUGGCUCAGUGGUAGAGUUCUUGCUUCUCACGUGGGAAACCCAGUUUCGAUUCCCAGCCAAGGCA